GGCUGAUUGGUCAAGCGGUUAANNUAAGACGUCGCCCUCUCACGGCGAAAACAGGGGUUCGAUUCCCCUAUCAGCUG
rnacentral:tRNA from 1 species